rnacentral:rRNA from 1 species
GACGAACGCUGGCGGCGUGCCUAAUACAUGCAAGUAGGACGCAGUUGCGAACGGGUGAGAAACACGUAGGUGACUCUCCACUAGAGGGGGAUAACUAUUGGAAAAGAUAGCUAAUACCGCAUACUAGUAGAUGGAUCUGCGUUGUAUUAGUUAGUAGGUUGGGUAAUGGCCUACCAAGGCAAACAUACAUAGCCGACCUGAGGGGGUGGUCCGCAAAACUUGGACUGAGGAACGGGCCAGGCUCCUACGGGGAGGAGCAGGAAGGAAUCUUCGGCCAUGGGUGGAACGCUGACCCGGCAACGCCGCGUAGAGGGAGGAGGUUUUCGGGUCGUAAAGCUCUGUUGGUAAGGAAGCGGUACUUAACCAGAAAGGGACGGCUAACUACGUGCCAGCAGCCGCGGUAAUAC